UACGUAGGGGGCAAGCGUUGUCCGGAAUCAUUGGGCGUAAAGCGUGCGUAGGCGGCGGCCCAAGUCUGGUGUGAAAUCUCCCGGCUUAACCGGGAGGGUGCGCUAGAAACUGGGUUGCUGGAGUACCGGAGAGGCAGGCGGAAUUCCUGGUGUAGCGGUGAAAUGCGUAGAUAUCAGGAGGAACACCGGUGGCGAAGGCGGGUCUCUGGGCCGAUACUGACGCUGAGGAGCGAAAGCGUGGGGAGCGAACAGG
rnacentral:rRNA from 1 species